GGUAUUCCCCCCAUUCAGCACCGAUUAGGGAAUCCUUACCCGUUUCUUAUUUUCGUUUCCUUUUGCUGCCCUCAUCGAUUUCUGCUUCUUCUUCCAUAGGUAUUGCAGAGUUAAUUUCUGUCCUCAUUUCUUCUGCUUUCAUAACAAAUCCUCAAAUAUAUCUCUUCAAUCCAAAUCUCCUCCCAUUUCUUUACUGGUUCUCUCUCUCGGUCUCUUUUAAAUUUUUUUUCCUGUCAUUUUUUUAGCUUUGGGUAACCAAAGGCCAAAACACACACACGCUAGAAUCUGUUUUUUUGUGGUUUUUAAAAUCCAUUGCUUCAUUGGGGACUGAUUUUGAGGUAUGAAUCUUAAACUUUUUCUUUGUCUGUCAUUGCCUUUUCAUUUCUAUUUUGGUUUCAGAUCAAUGUUUUUUUUCUUAUAUUUCAGUGGAUUUAUUUCUCUGCCGUUUCUUUGUUGCGAUUUUUGUAACCCCUACUUCAUCGGAGGCUAAUUUCAGGUAUGAAUCUUUGCUUUAACAAUGUCUUCGGCUUCCUCUGAUUUAUGGUUGUGGUUUGAGUCCUUUAUUCUAUUGGGGAGUUCUAUUUAAUUGCAGGGUGGCUUUGAUUUCAAAGUUUUGUGGGAAU
rnacentral:lncRNA from 1 species